CCCUGCUCACAUUUAGCUUUUUUGGGUACUCUGUUAUAUUAUUAGUUGUCAUGGAUAAGGCAGUAGGCAAACUUAGGUGGCCCAGCACCUAUUGGGUUGAAAACACUCUGCUCCUCACCAUCAGGAAUGGCAUCUCAGGUAACGAAUAACGCAACUGGCAAAUGACUCUUCCCUUUGGAUGUUGCAUUGCUGGAAUCAUUCUCUGGCAUCAAUUGCUGGCUUAGCAUCUUGGUUUGGAAUACAUCAUGCGAAAGGCUGGGCUGGAUGAAUCCCAAACUGGAAU